UAAAACGUAGGAGGCGAGCGUUAUCCGGAUUCACUGGGCGUAAAGCGCGUGUAGGUGGUUCGCUAAGUCGAAUGUGAAAGCCCCCGGCUUAACUGGGGGAGGUCAAUCGAUACUGGUGGACUUGAGGGUAGGAGAGGAAGGUGGAAUUCCCGGUGUAGCGGUGGAAUGCGUAGAGAUCGGGAGGAACACCUGUGGCGAAAGCGACCUUCUGGCCUGCUCCUGACACUGAGACGCGAAAGCGUGGGUAGCAAACGGGAUUAGAUACCCCGGUAGUCCACGCCCUAAACGAUGAGGGCUGGGUGUUGGCGCCAUUCGGCGUCAGUGCCGAAGCAAACGCGUUAAGCCCUCCGCCUGGGGACUACGAGCGCAAGCUUA
rnacentral:rRNA from 1 species